rnacentral:lncRNA from 10 species
CAGCAAACCUUUCCCUGCUGUGAGGUGGGCAAGUUAGUUGCUCCAAAAACAAGAUAAAAUGAUUGAGUUCUUUUCUCAAGCGGGAGUCGGAGUUUAUCUGCUCUGAGAGCCCCAGCAGCUACUAUUAAUGAGUGUCUGGAAUAUGUUCCUGGCAUUUCACCUACCCUCUCUCCAAUCCUUCCAAGAAACUCACAAAGCAGGGCUUUUUCUUGAACUUCUCUUCCUCACAACAGUUAAAUCAUCCAUUUAAAGAUGUCAAACAACCUCCGUGUUCUAAGAACUAUUUACUGAGCUCUACGGAGACACAGCUACAAGCACCACAUGCUGGACCCCUGAAUAUGGAGGGCCAACUACACUAGAAACACACACGCUAGCUGAGAAAGAUGGUGGCUUAAGGGUAAGCAUGGAAAGAGGCAAGGAGGUGAGGACAGCAGGACUGAUAGAUAAGCUGGGGAGGCCAGAGCUCCACAAGGACAUCCAUUUCACUUAUCAGAAUCUAAAAAUAAACACGUUGAGAUACUAGAA